UACAGAGGUCUCGAGCGUUGUUCGGAUUCAUUGGGCGUAAAGGGUGCGUAGGCGGCGCGGUAAGUCGGGUGUGAAAUUUCGAGGCUUAACUUCGAAACUGCAUUCGAUACUGCCGUGCUUGAGGACUGGAGAGGAGACUGGAAUUUACGGUGUAGCGGUGAAAUGCGUAGAUAUCGUAAGGAAGACCAGUGGCGAAGGCGGGUCUCUGGACAGUUCCUGACGCUGAGGCACGAAGGUCAGGGGAGCAAACGGG
rnacentral:rRNA from 1 species